ACUGGAUCAAACGAAGAGUUACCCUGCGUGCGCCACACAGGCAACAGUUCAGGCACCGCACCGGCGCACCGUCCCGCCCCUCUCCCUGCGCGCCUGCCCCGCCGCCCGCCACGUAUGAGACCCCCUCCCCCCGCGCCGGGCGCCGGCCCAGCUCCUCUGAGGUACCGCCGACCCGCCUGGGAAGUCCGCCGCUCCGCCCCCAAGUCCUGGCUUGACGGGCUCCGGUCAGGAUCUCGCUAGGCGCGGCUGUUGGGAGUUCCCGAGUGUAACGACACAGCUGGUGCGGCGGUGGUGCGAACAGAUGUGGAGAAGUUGACAAAGUCUUCUCAUGCUCUUACGGAGAAAGGAGACCACCGCUGUUCCGAUACCCAAGUAGACAAAGUUCAGAACCGCCUGCAAGAACGAAAUGAUAACAGGGUGAAAAUUUAUUCCUGUCUUUACUGUCUUGCAGCAAUGUAAUAUAUGCAAGGAAAUAAAUCUAACUAUAUUAUGGUAAAACUCAGGUGCUAGAAAUUGUUGCAGUUUUUUUUC